GCAUAUGCCAACUCUUUGUCACUGGAUUAAAGUGAAUGAUACCACUCAAGUUCAUACACUCAUAUUCAUCUCCAAACAGACAUGACGUAUAUAAUAGUCGGCUGGGCAAAAGGACCAGGUGAUGAUUAGCUGGACAAACUGCCUGACGAUGGAGAAAUCCCAAAUGGCACCCUAUUCCCUAUGUAGUGCACUCAUUAUUAUUUUUUUUAUAUCAGGGCCCAUAGUGCUCCUAUAGCGCUCUGGUCAAAAGUAAUGAGCUUUAUAGGGGAAUAGGGGGUGCUAUUUUGGACAGAGCAACGAUGCUCUGACGGGUGGAUGAACAGAGAACAGCAAUAGAGCAGAAUGAGAAAUGUUCCUCAAAGCAUAAUGGAAACAGAGGCACUACAUCAUGUUCCACGUGCAAAUCCUUCUUCAGAAACGUUUAAAACGUUUAAAAAAUAAAAAAUAAACGUUUUAUCCGAUCCCCAGUGUACUAGAAAAAGGUUAAGCUUGUUUUCAUUGACAUUAUUCUUCUGUUCACAAGGCAAAAGGACCGUUCUGUCUGUUUCCUCAUAUUCGGGUUGGAAUUAGAAUUCAUUAUUAUUAUUAUAUUAUUUCUAUUGUCAUUUCCAAUAUAUUCACAAUCCUCUCUAGCUGAAUAAAUAGCUCAAGGUACAACACUUUGAAAAAAAUCUAUCUAUGUGAUGAUGAUGGUUAAAUUCAAGUAAUGUAGAAGCUGGCCCUGUAUCAGUGUUGUUAUUGGAGGAAGCUGGCCCUGUAUCAGUGUUGUUAUUGGGGGAAGCUGGCCCUGUAUCAGUGUUGUUAUUGGGGGAAGCUGGCCCUGUAUCAGUUGUUAUUGGGGGAAGCUGGCCCUGUAUCAGUGUUGUUAUAGGGGGGAACAUGUAUCAGUGUUGUUAUUUGGGGGGUAGCACUAUUCACUAUCCAGAGGAAGGAAGGGUGGGGUGGUCAUAGGUCAUAGGUCAUACAGUUAGAGGAACUGAUAAUAAAAGGUGCUGUGUGCAGAAGUUGCACUAUAACUACUUUAGAAAUAUAAAUGUCUUUGUAAAUAAAUAAAUACAUGCAUAAAUAAAUAAAUGAUAAUGUUGUUAAAUAUAUAAAUAUAACCUCAACUUAAUAAAAUAAAAAAAUCUGACUCGGAUAUUAAUUAAGAUUAAAUUUGGAGGAUUUUCAUAAAUGAUGUAUGUCAGAGCUAGUGUAGAUCGUCUCGUCUACUGAGAGUAGAUACAGAGAUGUAGCUGAACCAUCAUGUGUUUCUUUCUACUAGAAAACCAGUGUGAACGAUUGAUCGAUGCCAACCCUUCUCUCGUCGCCAGGCUGUGGAUGCAUCCCAACUGGCACACGACUGUCUGCAUAGUUCACUGCAUUUGACCAGAGCAACUAUGAAAGAGAUUUCAUAGGACAUUUUCUUUUUUUUUUCUUUUUUUUCCCCUGAUGGAAUAAAUGUGUUAUUCAAUAAGCUCAGUGUGUUGCUGAUAAAUACCAUACAGUACAUCAUAAUGCAAGUCUAUAAAAUAACAAACUGGUAACUACCCCUCUCCCCGUCUCUCUUCCUCCGUUCUCUCGGCUCGGAACAUUCUGGUAAAGUAAGGAGGUUUGGGCUCAGUCCCAAAUGAUACCUUAUUCCCUACUUAGUGUACUACUUUAGACCAGAGCCUGUACCCUAUUCCCUAUGUAGUGCACUACUUUUGACCAGAGCCCUAUAAGCCCUUCUUACAGUAGCUAUGACCAGCCCUAUAGGCCCUUCUUACAGUAGCUAUGACCAGCCCUGUAAGCCCUUCUUACAGUAGCUAUGACCAGCCCUAUAGGCCCUUCUUACAGUAGCUAUGACCAGCCCUAUAGGCCCUUCUUACAGUAGCUAUGACCAGCCCUAUAGGGUCAUUCACUACAAGGCAGCUAUGACUCAGCCUUACAGUGGCCAAUGUCUUACAGCAGCUAGGAC
ensembl:lncRNA